UCUUUCUUUAUAUUAUUUGUACAUUAUAUAAUCCUUAACCUGAAUGUCAGUAGCCACCCACCCACCUAGUUUAUGAAAGAAAAUACAAAAAUCCUUGUAUAGAACUGUAUACUUCACAGUUCCUGCGAUGCGGUGUUUGGCUGUUGUGUACAUGCUCACAUGUCUGGGAUAGGAAGCUGCAUGCUAGGGAAAGAAAGCACUGUGGUUCAUGCAGUGCCGACCCAGGUGUGCUGGUGAAAGGUAGUAUUUUUUUUUGAUUGUGUGUGUGUGUGUG